rnacentral:rRNA from 1 species
CUAUGCGCCUUGCCAGCCGCUCAGGUGUGCCAGCAGCCGCGGUAAUACGAGGAUGCGAGCGUUAUCCGGAUUUAUUGGGUUUAAAGGGUGCGUAGGUGGUUAACUAAGUCAGCGGUGAAAGUUGUGGCUCAACCAUAAAAUUGCCGUUGAAACUGGUUGACUUGAGUAUAUUUGAGGUAGGCGGAAUGCGUGGUGUAGCGGUGAAAUGCAUAGAUAUCACGCAGAACUCCGAUUGCGAAGGCAGCAUACCGGCGCCUACUGACGCUGAGGCACGAAAGCGUGGGUAUCGAACAGG